AGAAUGUUUCAUAGCAAACACAGUAGUGUACAAUGCUAAGUUGACAUACGCAUGUACUUACUUUGUUUGUUCUGGAAUCUUCU
rnacentral:pre_miRNA from 1 species